CGGGCUGUAGCGCAGAUGGUAGCGUGCAUGAAUGGGGUUCAUGAGGUCGCUGGUUCGAAUCCAGUCAGCCCGA
rnacentral:tRNA from 1 species